GGCUUCGUAGCUCAGCUGGUAGAGCGCUUGCUGCGUUUUGGCAUGGUGUUUCUCUCGUUGGUUUGAAUCCAGCCGAAGUUC
rnacentral:tRNA from 1 species